AUUUAAGCUAAAAAAGAGAAAAUACAACAUAAAGAAAAAUUUCUGUUUUAUCUGUGUGUGAGUGUGUGAAUAUGUGCACCAUGUGCAUGAAGGAGCCCAAGCAGGCCAGAAAGGGCAGAGAAUCUGUGUGAGCAUGUGUGUGUGAGCAGAGAAUCUGUGUGAGCAUGUGUGUGUGUGAGCAUGUGUGUGUGUGUGUGUGUGUGUGUGUGUGUGUGUGUAUGUGAAUAUGUGCACCAUGUGCAUGAAGGGGCCCAAUCGGGUCAGAAGGGCGCGCAGGGCCUCUCUGGACUGCAGUACUGGCAGUUAUGUGGUUUUCACCAAGAGGUCAUCUUUUCAGUCUUUUUUUUUUUAAAGUCUCUUUUUAAAAGACAAACUUGUGAUCCUCCUCCCUCUGCCUCCUGAGGGCUGGAAUGAAAGGUAUAUUACAAAACCUGGUUCUGUAUACUUAAGUAAUUUCAUUCUUCUUCCAACAAGACAACACAAAACCAACAGAGGCCAGGCCUGUUCUCUCUUGUGGUUCAGCACACAGGAGGCUGAGACAGACCCCAUCUUAAAACUUCCACCACCAAAAAUUUGGGACUCUUUUUCCUUUCUGGUUUGUUUUUUAACUCAUGUUCAAGCCACUUUUAAAAUAAUUACUGUGGCCGGCUGGCUAAUGACUCCCAAAAGGUUUCUAUAUCCAAAUCCCCACAAUCUGUAAAUGGGCCUUAUGCAGUCAAAAGGAUCUUGCAGAUGUGAUUCACUUAGAAGAGGAGGUCAUUCUGGUGCACCUUAAGUCUUAUUUAUUUUUAUUCUAUAUAUUUUAUGUAUAUGAGUACACUGUCAGGGUCUUCACAGCAGAAGAGGGUGCCAGAUCCCAUUACAGAUUCUGGAGGGAAGAUACUGGCUCUCAGGGCAGCCAUGCUGAUUUCUCACCUCUCCUCUAGAACUAUGGAAACCGCUCUUGAUUUAGCACAUUUGAGGUGAUCUUUUUUAAUAACACCCAAAGCAAACUAGUACAUUAAUCAUAUAGUUUUGAGACUAACUUUACCUAUAUUUUGUUCUUUGUGCAGGCCUGCAGGAGCUGGGGUCGGGUGUCAUGGUUGAUCCUUGCACAAGGUUAAGUGUAGCACUGAGCUACACUCCCAGCUCACAUUUCCUCAUCUGUUCUGUUUUUACCGCCCACAUGAGCAUUUCCUAAACACAACUGAUCAAAACCAACUUGGUACCAGGGGUGCUGGUGCACACCUGAAAUUCCAGACACAAGGUACAUAGGAGUGUACACAAUGACCAUGGGCCAGCCUGAGUGUACACCAGGACCCUGCCUCAGAAGGCAAAGAUUACUCCAGAUUACAGGUUUUUUCUUCAACUUCCUCAUCUUUCUAUACCAAAUACAAUGCCUGCCCCCACCCCACCCCCACCAAUGGCACAACACUUGGCUUUUCCUUGUUUGUUAUCUGAGCUAAAACCUUUCCAGUCCUGGUUGACCUUGAGUUCAAGGGCUCCUGAGGGCUGGGAUUCACAGGUUCUAUGGAAUUAUAGGCAACCACCACCAUGCCCCAAUUGUCUUUUGGAUUCUUCUAUCUUUAUAAAUAUCCCACACAAUGAACUUUUAUUUAGUCCAGUGGUUCUCAACCUUCUUAAUGCUGCCACCCUUUAAUAUAGAUCAUCAUGUUGCCGUGAUCCUCACCUAUAAAAUUGUUUACAUAGCUACUUCGUAACUUUAAUUUUCCUGGUGUUAUGAACCAUAAUGUAACUAUGUUUUCCAAUUGUCUUAAGCAACCCCUGUGAAAGGGCUGUCUAGCCCCCAAAGGGCUCAAAACCCACAGGUUGAGAACUGCUGACUUAGUCCUUGAUUAUAACUUGUAGAUAUGAUUUACAUAUAAUAUGCAAGUCUUAACAAUCACAUGCACCUUCCACAUGUUCAGAAGCUGCACACAAGAACCAAAGGCAGAAAAGUAAGUUUGUUAAAGGGAUGCAGAGGAACUCCAAAAGAGCAUGUGUUAUGUGCCGUUAAAGACAAGUGCCAAUGUCAAGUGUCACCCUCUGUCACGCUGCAACAUCUAUAUUUGUUUUAUUUUUCUAAUUUUUUUUUGAGAUAAGCUAUCAACUGUGUAGCCCUGGUCAUAUUAGAAUUUGCAAACACAGAUAAGAUAGCUUGUUCCUCUUAAGUACUAGGAUUAAAGGAGUAUGACACCAUGCCCAGCUGAUACUAUCUUUUGAGACAGAGUCUCUCAUCAAACCUGAAGCUGACUGAUUGGUCACCCACCUCCUGGGACCUGCCUUUACCCAUGUCCUCAGUACUGGAAUCAGAAGUAUACACUGCCAUGUUCAACUUUCUUUUUCAGCAGGUUCUGGAGGUCUGUACGGUUUUUACCCAGUGAAGCAUCUCUUCAUCAGCCUGUUUUAUGUAUAUUGGUUGAUUUACCUAUAUGUAUGUCUGUGUAGGUGUCAGAUCCUUUAGAACUGGAGUUACAGACAGGUAUGAGCUCUCAUAUGGGUGCUGGGAAUUGAACCUGGACCUUCCGAAAGAGCAGUCAGUGCUCUUUUUUUAAAAAAUAUUUUAUUUAUUUAAUGGAUAUGAAUACAUUGUAGCUGUCUUGAGAUACACCAGAAUCUGUUACAGAUGGUUGUGAACCACCAUGUGGUUGCUGGGAAUUGAACUCAGGACCUCUGAAAGAGCAGCUAGUGCUCUUAACCACUCAGCCAUCUCUCUAGUCCUGAGAACUAGCUCUUAGCUUCCUAACUUUUCUGUUACUUCUCUUUCCACACCUUAUUAAAGUAUAUUAUACACUUUACAUAAUACCUUAAAAGUUAUUAAUGCAAUCUACCAUGUCUUUUUCACUUUAAAAACUGAGUCACCACAAUGUUCCAAAAAUAAAAUCUAGCUCUACAGCUGACUUUAGGAAGUACACACCAAACAGGCAGUGGUGACACACGCCUUUAACCUCAGCACUCCAGGGGUUGGGGAUUUAGCUCAGUGGUAGAGCGCUUGCCUAGCAAGCACAAGGCCCUGGGUUCAGUCCCCAGCUCCAGAAAAAAAGAAAAAAGAAAAAAGAAAAAAAAAAAAAAAAAAAAAAAAAAAAAACAAAAAAAACAAAAAACCUCAGCACUCCAGAAGCAGGCAGAUCUCUGAGUUCAAGGCCAGCCUGAUCCAGAGAAACCCUGUCUUAAAAAAAAAAAAAAGUGGACAUAAAAGAUUAUUUUAUUUGACAGUAAGUUGCACUUCAUACUAUAUAUACAUAAGACUUUUCAAGACUUGUUUAUAAUAACCAACAUAUACAGUGAAGAAGCCAGUCUCUAAAAUGAAAUCCCUCUGCUUCCUUAUCUCAAGUGGUACUGUAUCACAUCAGCACAAAAUUCCACUGAAAGUUAUUUUGCUAUAUUGUUUCAGUGCUUUUUUUCCCCCCUUCUGGUUUUGAAACAGGGUUUCUAUGUAUAGCCCUGGCUGUCCUGGAACUCUCUUUAUAGACCAAGAUGUUCUUGUCCUCACAGAGAUCUGCCUGCCUCUGUUUCCAGAUUAAAGGUGUGUGUCACCACCUCUGGGUGUUUAGUGAGCAUUUUUAUAUUUCAACACACUUGAAAUAGAUCUUUCUGUUAACUAUACUUCUUGGUAUUACACAGAAAAUAUUUUUAAUCGCCUUCACUAGGCAUCAUAAAACAUUAUAUUAUAAAUCUAUCAAUCACAUAAAUGAUAUAGAUUUCCCAGGUAGACUCUGUUUUCAUUCUGGAAAAAAAAAAAGGCCAGUAACUUUAGAAGGUUUUAAUAAGGGAAAGACUUAAUGUAGACAUCCUAUGAUCAUGAACAUUUAAUCAAAUUUCUGCAACUAGUUAGCUCAGCUUGAGGAAAUUUCUAACUAGACUUUAACUGGUUUUAUCUUUAUUUGGACAAGUAAAGUUUGUACUUUAGAAAGAGUGGGUUAAACAUUCAUGUUGUUCUUCCUAAGAGAGACAGGGACACAAAUGUUAAGCAACAAAAAAGUACAGAAUCAUUAAAAAUAACUUAAAAAGCCAGAGAAGGGGUGCACCACUUUAAUUCUAGGGCCGGAGGCAGCGCCAGACAGCUCUCUGGGAAUUUGAGGCCAGACUGGUGUAUAUAGCAAGCUCUGACUCAAAAAAGAAAUACAUAUAAAUAAAUAAAAUAGAAAUUUAAAGAUUUCGGGAUGGAGAGAUGGCUCGGCCGUUUAACAGUACUUGCUGUUUUCCCACAGGCUGGAGGACAGACAUUUGAUUUAUAGCACACACACAGUGGCUCAUAACUCUUCCAGCUCCAGAGGAUCUAACACCUUUUUCAGGCUUUUAAGGGUACAUGCACUGCAAACACGUACACACACACACACACACAUACUUAAAAAUAAAUAAAUCUUAUAAUGAUGAUAAUCACUUAGAGACCUCUAAGUCAGGUGUGGUAGUGCACUUGGGAGGUGGAAUCCCUUGGGUUAGAAGUUCAAGGUCAUCUUUAUCUGUACAGGAAGCUGAAGCCAACCUAUGCUGUGAAGACCUAGGCUCUAAGCACCAGAACACAAAAAGAAAAAGAUGCUGAUCAGUUGCUGGGAAGUUAAUUCUCCACUUACAGCUACUUAAACAAACGGCAUUUUCAGGGUGGUGGGAUGGCUCAGCUGGUAGAUGUGCUUGCUGUCAAGCCUGAGGACCCGAGUCUGAUCCCUAGACCCCACCGGAAGGAGAGUUAUUUAUCAUAUACAUGUGUACAGACAUGAGAUAAAUAAAUAUUAAAAAAUUAAUCAGUUUCUUUUGCUAGAAAAGCAUUAGCAUUAGUAAAUUGUAGAGAUGGAUGAGAAAUAACAAUUAUUGAAUCUCCUGAUGGUUUCUUGCUUCUGUUUUGCCCUUCAGUAACAUGUUCCUUAUAGACCCACUGCUACAAUCUCAUCACACUAGAUAUUAUUCCUGAGUUCAAAAAGGUUUCCACUUGGAAAAGCCAAAGUCACUACAGCAGCCCACCAGGAUGUCUAAUCCACUAUGACUCUGGCUCACUUCAGCCCUGCCAUGGGUCUUGUCACCUCUAGAACAUACAAUCAAACUGCCAUUUCAGAAGUCUCUACACCAUACCACAAGGGAACUCAAUGCUUUGUAUUCUAAGUAAAACAAAUCCCAGCCCUCAAGAGAAUUGCUGAGUUUGAGGCUAGUCUAGGCUAUACAACAAAAACUAAAGGAAACUAAGCUGACCAUUGCGGACAUGCCAUUAACCCCAGUACUCCAAAGACAGGCGGGCGGAUCUCCAAGUCAGAGGAAGCCUGGGCUACGUAGUAAGACCGUGUCUCAAAAUCAAAGUUAAAAAUAAAAUAAAAAUAUUUAAAGGGGGUGGGGGAGCUAAAUUCAUGAGCAAGACUGCUAAAUGUUCCAGAAUUAAAACUUUCUUUCCAAGGCUUACAGGACGAUUCAGAGGGUAUAAAAGCUUGGCACCAAGCCUAAGCCCGAUGACCAAGUUCUAUUGCUCAAUCCCAUUUACACCCAGGGGAAGGACAGAAUCAACUCCAGCACGGUGUUUCCUGACUAUCACUACUACCAGGUCUCAUACAUGUACACACACACACACACACACACACACACACACACACACACACACACACACACACACAGAGUAAAUGUAUUUUUUAAAUAUAUUUCCUUUUACUAUAUUUUAUUUGUGUGUGCAUGUGUUUUGUAUGUGUAUGUACAUGCAUACCAUGCAUACAUAGUCCUCUCCUUCCUUGUUGGUCCUGGAUUGAAUUCAGGUCAUAAGGUUUAGUAGCAAACACCUUUAUUUGCUGAACCAUAUUGCUAGGCCCUAAAAUUGCCUUAUAUUUUCUGGCUAAAGAGAUGGAUCAGCAGUUAACUGCACUUGCUGUUCUUGGACCCAGGUCCAGUUCCCAGAACCUACAUGACCACUUACAACUGCCCUUAACUCCAGUUCCAAGUGUCUGCCACUUUCUUCCUGCCUCUAUAGGUACCAGCAUGCACAAAAUACACUUACAUACAUGAACAAAAUACUUAUUCAUACACAUUAAAUAAAAAAUAAAUCCAUAAACCUGGCAGUGGUAGUGCAUGCCUUUGAUACCAGCACUUGGGAGGAACAGACAGGCAGAUCUCUGUGAGUUUAAGGUCAGCCUGAUCUACAGAGCUGGUUCUAGGACAACCAAGGCUACACAUUAAAAAAAAAAAAACAAAAACAACAACAACAACAACAACAAAAAACAAAUAAAACCUGUCUUGAAAAAACAAAAAUGAAUAAAUUAAAAAAACUUUAUUAGAAAAUUAAAUUUCUUUAAUAGAAAAUUAAACUAGGGGCUGGGGAGAUGGUUCAGUGUUUAGGAGCACUGGCUGCUCUUCCAGAUGUCCUGAGUUCAAAUCCCAGCAACCACAUGUGGCUCACAACCAUCUGUAAUAGGAUCUGCUGUCCUUUUCUGGCAUGCAGGCAUAUAUGUAGACAGAGAACUCACAGGCAAAGAUGGAUGGAUGGGCGGGCAGAUAAAUAGGCCAACUGCUGGUGGCACAUGCCUUUAAUCCUAGCACUUGGGAAGCAGAGGCACAUGGACCAUGUGAGUCCAGCCUAAUCUAUGUGACACACUUCAGGAUAGCCAAAUCUCCAUAGUGAGACCCUGUUUUAAAAAACCAUCAAAUAAGGGGCUGGAGAGAUGGCUCAGUGGUUAAGAGCACUGACUGCUCUUCCAGAGGUCCUGAGUUCAACUCCUAGCAACCACAUGGUGGCUCACAACCAUCUGUAAUGGGACCUGAUUCCCUCUUCUGCUGUGUCUGAAGACUGCUACAGUGUACUCAUAUACAUGAAAUAAAUAAAAAAUAAAUCUUCAAGUUGUAGCUUUAUAAAAAAUAAAAAGAAAGAAAACCCUCAAAUAAAGAAAUGAAAUAGAAAUCACCUUGUAUAUGAAAGGAGGAGGGACUAGUUGAAAAGAGGAAAGCGGUACUGGGAGUUGAGUAGGGGUACAAGAGAGGAUGGCUAAUUGUGAGUAUGCUCAAAGUACGUUACAUAUAUGUAUCAAAAUAUUAUAAAGUGAGCCAAAGAGACGGCUCGGUAGAUAAGGGCCCUUGUUACCAAGCAUGAUGACCUGAGUUUGGUUCUUAGUACCUACCUACAUAGAUAGCAGAAAGAGAAAAGUGGUCCUGCACGUUAUUCUUUAUCUCCAAUUGAAUACUGUGCAUGACAUGCCCUUUUACUUCCUUACACACAAAAUAAACAAAUAUAAUCUUUUUUAAAAAAGAAAAAAAUGACAUAAUGAAACGUAUUGUGUAUGCUAAUAGAAAUCUUUUUCAUAUAUCGCAUAUCAAUCUGACCAUACUUUCUGUAUACAUUAUGGUCAUGUAGCUGAGUUUUUACAUGUACUGUUUUUACAAAGAUCAGGUUGCCGACAUUUGUUAGCAUUAAGUGAGCAUCAUAAUUAUCCCAAGCUGAAUUUCAAUCAAGUGCAUGCACAGAACAGACUAGAAUGUGUGCUAAUUUUAGUUAUGUAUGUUUAACUUUUACAAAAUAAAGUGAUUUUAAAACAAAUAAAAAUAGGGCUGGAGAGACGUCUUAGUUGUUAACAUUCACAGCUCUUGAAAAAUCCCCAAGUCCAGUUCUCAACACACAGGUCAGGAGGCUCACAACUGUCUCCCCCUCUAACUCCAGGGGAUUCUAGAAUGCUCUUACAGCCUCAUGUGUUCAUCAUGGGCUCUUUGUGUACAAAGAUAUACAUACAAACAUGUAACUAAUAUAACCAAAAUAAACCUUGCCUGGAACUCACUGCCUUCUCCAUCCCAGGGCUCCUUCAGCCUUAGCUCCGCUCUUCCCAUACCUCAGCUGCUGUAUUCCAAUUUCCUAUUAACUGCUUUGGCUGCUUUUCUGAAAGGAGGCAUCAAUCCACUCUCUAUGUCAGGAGUAAGCUACAACACUGGCAGCGUCUGAACACCACAACCAAUGCCUCAAGCAGGUCAGGCGCCCCACGGGGAACUCACAUGCACACUAUCCAUCUUCAGCUCUCCUCCCUUCCCUCUCUCAGAUUCUACAAUAUUCCUCAUCAAUAUUCAGGAAUUAGCUCAUUUUGGUGGCAACAAAAAGGUUAGCAGUCCAUACACUAGAGCUCAAUAGUGUGUUUGACUACAGCUCCUAGUAGUUAUAUAUGACCACAACCAGUUCUUCAAUCUUUCUGAAUCUGUGUAGAUGUAUAAACACUGUACAGGCACAUGAAUAAAGCAAAUAUUUGUUUCAGAUUUUUUUUUCUUUUUUUCGGAGCUGGGGACCGAACCCAGGGCCUUGCGCUCGCUAGGCAAGCGCUCUACCACUGAGCUAAAUCCCCAACCCCUUGUUUCAGAUUUUAAAAGAAUUUAUGUGAGGAGACAGGCAGACAGGGCUUGUGUGGGUGGGAGAAGUAUGGGCUGGCCAGCCACAAAGGGUUGUCAACAGUGAUAAAUAGAGCUGAAGGUGUCUGGACUUUACUCCAAAAGAAAUGGACAGGGCAGUCCUUUCGGAAAGUGAAGCGAUUUAAUGAUUUAAUUACGAAAUGGUGAGAAAACAAUUGAGGGAGAAUGGAAACCAGAAGGGUGGAGGAGCAGCAGUGAACGCUGCUACGUCCCAGAGAAACACCAAGCGUGCAGAAGAGAAAGACAGGGAGGGCCAAUGGGAUGUCAGGGGAUGAAGGCACUUGCCACUUGUGCUGGGUUUUGUCAACACAGAUUAGGAAACGAGCAAACUUAAGUGAGGGACUGACUUUAUCAGACUAGCCCACAGUAGGUAGUGCCAACCUGCUCAGGUGAACCUGGGUGCUUAAGUAAAGCGGCUGAACAGGCCAGCAAGCAGCAUUCCUCUUCCUCUUCCUCUUCCUCUUCCUCCUCGACUCUGCUUCAGUUCCUGCCUUGAGCUCCUGCCCUGGCUUCCCUCACUGAUGGACUAUAUAACCUGUAAGCCAUAUAAAGCCUCUCCUUCCCAGGGUGGUUCUGAUGAGUGCUGUAUCCCAACAGAGAGCAAACCAGAACACCAUUCAACAAUGAGAGCCUAUGUAAAGGAGGAAAGAACCAAUUUCAUGAAGCUGCCCUCUGACCUCCACACAUCAAUUAACAAUAAAUAAAAGUUUUAGAAACUUAAAAAAAAAAUACAGCAAAUAUUCCCAAGGUGAAAUUAAACUGGUCUCCAUGACUGUUCUGAUCUGAGGAUCUGUGUGUGACUGAGAGUUCUUUACACAGCUGGAGUAUGACAUCACUAAGACAGGGAGUCCAGAAGAUGAAGUUGCCCCACCCACUAAGGUUGUUUUUUAAAACAGCGUGCCAUUUAGAAUUGAAAGCACAUGCUAAGAGAAUUAGGCCAUCACUCUGACAUGCAUUGCACAUCAAAACAUAGUGAUGUUCCAGUUCAAAGGACUCAUCUGUUUAUUAAAUGAUGUGUUACCGUCCUUCAUUUCUGUAUGUGGCUCCUGAAGAGGUGGAGCUAAAGAAAACAAGACUUAGCUGUACUGUGAUGCUGAGUGAGGUUUUGUUGUUGUUUUUUUUUAGCUUUUUGAGGGUAGGGAAGCACACCAAGAUAGGGUCUCAUCCCUCUGCCUCAGUUCUCUCAAUAACAUGCAUUACUGGUAUAUGCCAUCAAAUACACUAUUUUAAGCCUUCUUUUUAGUCGCCAUAAAACAUUUUCCUUUUGUCCUCAGAGCCUGUCCUGAUAAAAAUACCAUGAUGAAACCCUGUGUCUGCUUUAAAAGAUUUCCUUUAAAAUAUUGGCUUUACUUUUACCUGCUCAUUAUUCUAUAUGCCUGUGUUAUUUCUGAAUCUUUAAUGUCUCUUUUUGCAACCUAGAUCAGACACUCACUUUAUACUUUUCUCUCAGUCUCUGUUUCAAAAGCUGGAGGUGACAGUCCUAGUGCUUGGGAAGGGGAGGAGGAAAACCAGGGACUUGGAGCUACACAGGGAACCCUAUGUAAAGAACAAAACAAAGGAAAGAGGGGUAGGAGAAAGGUUGGUGCAAUGACUCAGUGGGUGAAGGAGUCUGAGAAUGUGGGUUCCCACAUGGUAGGAGAGAACCAACACCCACUAGUGAUCCUUUGUCCUUAAAUGCACACCCCCCCCACCCAAAUAAACAAGUACAAUGAGAAGGGGGGGGGGAGUCCCUUUUCUAUAGACUGAGCAAAAUGAUCUAAAGCAGUGGUUCUCAGCCUUCCUAACACUGCGACCCUUUAAUAUAGUUCUUCCUGUUGGGUGGUCACCUCUAACCAAAGUUAUUUUGUUGCUAUUUCAUAACUGUAACUUUGCUACUGUUAUGAAUUGUAAUGUAAAUAUCUGUUUUCUGAUGGUCUUAGGUGACCUCUGUGAAAGGGUUCUUACACUUCCCACAAAGGAGUCACAACCUACUGGUUGAAAACUACUGAUCUGAAGUCUCAAUGAAAAUUGCAAUGCUUUAAACUCUGACUACUGGGAUCUACUUCUAACAGACAGACAUGACAUAUGCAAAUUCAAACAGGCCAGACAUUUCUAUUCCUAAAAUGAGGAAAUAGCAAACUCAAUGUGCAACAAUAAUCAAACUUCAGUGAACAAGAAACUUCAUGGGUUGCUGGAGGCAGAGAGAAAGAGCUCAGUAAGGGAACUGUGUGCUGUGCAGGCCUGCUGACCCGAGUUUGGGCUCAGGGACCCACUGUCUAUCACAGAACUGACUCCUGAAGGUUGUCUUCUGACCUCUGUACAUUGGGCUGGAGGGAUGGCUGUGUGGUUGUGAUGUCUGCAGCCCUUCCAGGAGACCUGUGCUUGGUUCACACUGCUUGUGCCGUGCUGCUACCACCUCUCACACACUCACUCUUCCCAAAUAAAUGUAAAAGGAGAGAAAAACUAGGCUUCAGAUAUUGACUGAAAGGUCUGCACAGUGCGUAACAUAACAUCCAGUCGUAACUGCUGACUCACCAGUUCCACAGCCCCACAGUAAGGAAGAACUGGACAGUGAGUACAGCCACCCCUACAUCCUAACACCCUAAACAUUUCUUUUUAGAGAUCCAGUGUUUCUUUUUCUCCUUUUCUUUCUUUCUUUUUUUUUUUUAAACAUUUUACUUUUUUUCCCGUGAGGGAUGAGGCAAGCCACUGAAUGCAUGUGGAGGUCAGUAACUGGGCAACUUGUGAGAACUGGUUUUCUCUCCAUCAUCUGCAUCCCUGGACUGAACUCAGGCCUUCCGCCUCGGUGUGUGGAACCAUGCUUACAGUAUACAAUUUCUAACUCAUGAUGCCUUUUUCCACUUAGGGGAGGGGAGCUCAAACGCAGUCACAGAACUGUGCAGAGCCAGCUGCCCGACUGGGUUAUACCUCCAGCCUCUGUUCUGUUUGUGUUUGUUCCACUUAGAGUAUGCCUCCUUGGAACGCCUUCCACUCUCUGGAGUCUUUCUCACUUUUCCUUAAUAAAUUGACAUUUGCUCUACUAAAAAUAGAUAACUUUUUCAUUUACAACGUUCCACAAUUACCCCCACCCCAACAGCUCUGCUCUUUGUUUUCUCUCCAAUUUUGUGACAUGUAAAAAGUUCCCAGACUUAUCACUUUUCAUUUACAACGUUCCACAGUUACCCCCACCCCGGACAGCUCUGCUCUGUUUUCUCUCCAAUUUUGUGACAUGUAAAAAGUCCCCAGACUUAUCACUGAAGAACUUUCAGUUCCAUACACAAAGGCAAAAGCCACCAACACAAGCUAUGAAUUAGAAAACACUCCACUUCUCAUAUCAUUAAUGUAAAAAAUAUUUAAAACAUUAACACUUUAGCUGGGCUGUGGUGGUGCAGGCCUUUAACCCCAACAGAGACAGGCAGAUCUCUGAGUUUGAGGCCAAUCUGGUCUACAGAGGGAGCUCCAGGAUGGCUGGGGCCACACAGAGAAACCCUGUCUUGAAAAACCAAAACCAAACAAAAUUAACACUUGAACAAUUCUUGUUUGCUUUUUAUUUAUUUAUUUAUUUAUUUUUUGGUUCUUUUUUUGUUGUUCUUUUUUUCAGAGCUGGGGACCGAACCCAGGGCCUUGCGCUUCCUAGGCAAGCGCUCUACCACUGAGCUAAAUCCCCAACCCCCGAGACAACAUGUUUUUAGAACCAUCAAUUUAACCGAACUAAAACUAAUCUCAUUUCAUCAAUAACUGCUAGUUUCUUCUAUUUUAUUUCCAGUAUCAAGGAUCGAGGCCAAGGUCUUACACACACCACUGAUUUUCAAUACAACUGCUUUUCCCUUAAAAUCCAAACUAUGCCAAGCAGUGGCUCAUGCCUUUAACAUUAGUACUGAGGAGGCAGGGGCAUGCAAACAUCUAUCAGUUCCUGGCCAGUCAUAGCUACAAAGAGGGACCCUGUCUCAAAAAACAAACCAACUAAUUCUGUCUUAUCCAAAAAUCACACACAGACACACAUACACACACACACAUACACACACACACACACACACACACAGAUGCACACACACACAUACAUUUGUUUUGUAAUUAAUGCACACAAACAUUGUUUUGUAAUUAAUGCACACAAACAUUGUUUUGUAGUUAAUGCACACAAACAUUGUUUUGUAGUUAACUAGAAGUUUUAGAAACCAGAAAUCAUAUGGUGCUGCUAUGUAAACCGAGGGAGUUAAUUUAAUCAUUUACAAAAGCAUCUGGCUGCUCUCAAGUCCACCUUGAUGAGUCUAUAUCCACACAAGUCUUGUCUUUCUUUCUGAGAGAAUGACUCUUUCCUAGCCCUCAUGCUUGAAGCCUGUAUUAAAUAUCUUUAUUAAACCCCAACCUUGGCCAAGAUGGCUUUAGUAAAAGUAAAGUGCUUGCUGACAACCUGAGUUCAAUCCCAGAACCCAUGUAAAAGUGGAAGGACAGUUGUUCUCUGCAAUGGAAUACAGAAAAGCAGGAGCUCACACUCUGUUAGAAAAAGCAGAAAGGAAGAAGGAAAUGGAUCAGCAGUAGUAUGUGCCUCUCUAUGAUACUAACUUUUAAAAACUCUGCUUCAGGGGCUGGUGAGAUGACUUCAGUAGUUAGAGCACACUGCUCUACAGACCUGAAUUCAGUUCCCAGCAUCCACACAGACUGCUCUCAACCACGUGUAACUCCAGCGUCUGGGAUCUGACACUGUCUAGCCUCUACAGCACACAGUUCACAGAGCUGCAUCUACCCACUACUCAGUCAAAGAAUUAAUCACGAACCAACAACAUCCUUCAAUGUUUAUCAUCUAUCCCAAACCCACCCACUAACACCUGCACCUCUCACAUUAUUUACGAUGGAUAAGUAAAAGCAAAAGGAAAACCGGGCUGGGUGACACCUAUCAUCUACACUUGGGAGGCAGGAAACUUGUACAAGGAAACUUGUCUCAAAAAAAAAAAAAAAAAAAAAAAAAGCCUAACAAAGUGUGAGCUGUUAAUGGUAACAAUGAAACUUUGCUUAGUGACAGUGAUACAGUAUUUUUCAGUCUUGCACCUGUACAAGGUUUACAUGUUACCCUUCACUAAGGCUUGGGGGACGAACUUGCAGGGAGAAAUCAGACCUUUAAAUAAGAGGCAGGAAGAGGGAAGGGGGGGGGGAGGGAGUGGUCAGAGGAUACAACUUCCAGUUUUAAGUUCUGGAUACUUAAUGUACAGUGGAGUUAUUAAUAAUAAUGUAUACUUGAAACUGCCUGGAGUAAACCAAGUGUUCUCAUCAAAAAGAAAACGAAGGUACCUGAGUGAGGUCUAUCUAAUUAACUUGACAAUGGUAAUUAUUUCACAACCUCUACAUGUAUCCAAAUAUCAAGCUGUAUAUCUUUACGUAAAUUAUUAUUUUGUAAGUCAUACCUUAAUAGGGCUAGUGAUGGGAAACAAUACCGAGAGAACCCUGAAAAGGAUGGGGGUUGAGGGAUAUACUGGGAAAAAGUAAAGAUACCAAAGGCUAUCAGUUCUUUGCAAAAUCUUUUAGGGCACAACUGAGAUUUGCUGACUGAAAAAAAAAAUCACUACAAAAGAAUAAAUUUAGACCAAAUCCAUAACCAUUCAACAGAGAAAGGAGAAACGAGGUCCCAGAAAGCCACAGAAAGAUUUUGACGGUACCACCGGGAAGAUCUGAAAAUGGGUUUCCUGACCCAGAGAGUCAAGGAUGGGGGCGUUCCAACCCGGCCACCACCUUCGCCACCCCACCUGCAGCGAGGCCUGGAAAAAGCAAGCUCAGCACAGGGUUGGAUCGCCCGCCCAAGGCGAGAAAGCGGCCACGGGACCAGCGGAACCAAGAAGCGCCCGACCCCAGGGAAGAAGGGCUGCAGAAGGGCGGGGCGCGCGCCGCGGAGGUCGGAAGGGCGACUCAGGGCGGCAGCGCAGCCUGGGACCCCUCCUCAGGCCAAGGCGGGGGAGGGACCGAGGGUCCUAGACGACAGAAGACACAACUUACUCCGCGGUCUUCCUCCGAGAGGAAGUCGGGGCCGUCAUCCAGGCCUUCCUGCGGAGUCAGCGGGCCCAGCACACCGAAAGGGAGGAAGGGAAGGGAGAGACACAAGGAGAGAUAUUAGCGCCCAGUCCGCGCUGUCCCCGCGCCCGCCACCCCCACCGCGCGCCCCGAGUUCGGCGCCGCCGUGAACACCCACCAUCAUGGCUGCUUCGAGUCCAGGUCUCGCGCAGACUCACAAGCAAGGCCACGAACCGAGCCGGCCGCGCGGGUGGGGCUGAGGGCGGGGCCGAACGCCAGCCCCGCCCCCUGCCCGCUGCAAGAGGGGAGCUGUCCCUGAAGGGGAAAGGACGCAGGAUCCUUUGCUCCAGACUCUUCCUCGUAUCUACAAUAAGAACCUCCCCUCAACCAUGCCUUGGAGAGACCAUUGAAGUGGAAACCUAGGGGGUCUUUGGAAAGUCGAUUGGAUGGUGUUUUGCUGGGGCAAACACAUGAAGGAACGAUUCCUUAAAGUGGACACAGGUAUGAGAGACUAAGGCAGACUGGUGAAGGAACAUUUGGCUGAAGCACACACAGGACAGAGGAAUCUAAAGGAAACACGUGAAAGGGCAUGUGAUGAAAGGCUCUUGCUAAUGACACACAUGUAUUGGUCCACCUUACACUGCAUAGUUGAGCUGCUUUUGUCAGGGAUGCCAUAGAGAGAGAAACCCAUCAAGAAAACUUCUGGUGGUGUAUUACGGUUUGUUGUGGCUUCCAAGGACUGGGGCUGAUUGGAUGCGCAUGCUGAGGCAAGAACCAUGCUCAGGCACAGCACGUGGAGGACACGUGACAUUUAGAGAUUAUAAAUAAGACUCUAUGGAAUGAGAGAGUGCCCCUUGUGUACAUGUAUGAAAGGUAAAAGGUUGAAGGGUAUUAUCUUCCUCCACACGCUCUUCUUCAUUGCUAAAGACAGGGUCUCUCACUGAACCUGAAGUUUACCUAUUGGCUAGGCUGUCUGGCCAUCAAACCCCCUGACUCUCCUGUCUGUGCCUCCCCAGUCCUGGGUUAUAGGCUCAUGCUUCCACGUUCAUGGUCAUGUUUUCUUUUCUUUUUUUUUUUUUUUUGUUCUUUUUUUAGGAGCUGGGGACCGAACCCAGGGCCUUGCGCUUCCUAGGCAAGCACUCUACAACCCCCGGUCAUGUUUUCUUUUGUUUGUUUUUUUGUUUUUAAUGUAGCUGCUGGGGGUUUAAGUUCAGAUCAUGGGGUAGAGACUUGAGUUCAAAUCCAGGCAACCACAUGGUGACUCACAACCAUCUUUAAUGAGAUCUGAUGCCCUCUUCUGGUGUACACUAUAGCUGUCUUCACACACACCAGAAGAGUGCAUCGGAUCCCAAGACCUCUGGAAGAGCAGUCAGUGCUCUUAACCACUGAGCCAUCUCUCCAGCCCAAUAAAUAAAUCUUUAAAAAAAAAAAAAUCAGAUCCUGGAGUUUGCAUAGAAGCACUUUACCCUCCCAGUUGUCACUAUUCUGUAAUGGUCCAAACUGUUCACACUGCCAUUUUAAGCCCUCCCAGUUUGAAUACCUCCCCGUUCGCCGUGUCCUCCAUCCUGUCUCACAGAAAUGAAGCUCUUAAGAAAUGUGAAAUUUGCUAAUAAUUCCAUGCAGUUAUUUUGUGUGCCAGGAAAGCUGAGACAGGAGAGCUUUAGUUUCUGCUCCAACAAAGAUUACUCCCCAAAAUGGUGUGAAGAAGGACUUUACAUUUUUUGUCUUUUGUUUCUGUUGCCCCAGAGUACUGUAAUGGCUACUAAAGAGGUCUUUAAAAAAAUGUAUUGCUGGGCGGUGGUGGCACAUGCCUUUACUCAGAGGUAGAGGCAGGUGGAUCUCUGAGUUCAAGUCCAACCUGGUUCACAGUGUGAGUUCCAGGACAGCCAGGGCUACGCACAAAAAACUUGUCUUGAAAAACAAAGCCUCUGUCUGUUCGUGUGCACAUAGGCGUACGUGUGUGUAGGUCAAAAGACAACCUCAGGUGCUCUCCUUAGGAAGGUUGUUGCCUUUCUCUGACACAAGGUGUUUCACUUGGCUGAAGCUCACUAACUAGGCUGGACUCAUUUUAAACACUGGCAACACAAGCAUGUCGUGGCAUACACACAGGCAACGCCAUGUCUAGCAUUUUCCCACCGGUUCUAGGGAUGGAAUUCACUGGUUCGGAUCCACAGCCCCUAAAAUAGUCUUCUACACUUCGAGCCAUGAGGCAUCGUGCCAUAUCAAGUAGGUGUGAUAAAGUACCAGGAGAGAUGUUUUAAAUGCCAGCCAGGCAUUUGUAGUGGCUCACAUUGAUAAUCCCAAUACUUAGGAGGCUGAGGCAGGAGAAUUGCCAGACGUUGGAGGCCAGAUUAGGCUACAUUGUGAGUUCUGGGAGAGCAUGGGCUACAUGUGAAAACCCACCUCAAAAACAACACUAUAAUCCCAAACAGGUAGAGGUAGGAAGAUCAGGAACACAGGGUCUUCCCCAGCUGGAAAGGGAAUUUGAAACCAGCGAAAGCCACAUGGGAUCCUCCCACCCUUUCUCUAUCCCUCUCUCUGUUCCUGCUUCUCUCUCUCUCUCUCUCUCUCUCUCUCUCUCUCUCUCUCUCUCUCUCCACACACACACACACACACACACACACACACACACACACACACACACACCACACAUAAAAAAGGAGUCCUUACGUGACUUAUUAACAAAUAAGAAGAUGCUAAUUUGUUUCUGACUGAAGAUAAUGUGUCUGCCGUGACUAGGUUGAGAAAGAGGAGGGGAGCUGCAAUUAAUGAGCAGGACUUGUGCACAACUCAUAACAGAGUCAUGUUUGGCUGUGUAGAUGAAGGUUGAGAAGGAUCACACCGAAACACUUCAUUUCUUAUUUAUUACUAUUUGUGUGUGUGUGAUGUGAAUGAGUGUGGGUCGGCACAUGCCACGGUGUACAUGGGGAGGUCAGAGACAACUUUUGAGAAUUGUUUCUCUCUUCCCUCACCAUGUGUUCAACGUCUUGAACUGAAGUACUCAGCUCUUCACAUCACCUUUACCCACUGAGCCAUCUUGCGGGCCCUACCUCAGUCAUUACCCAAAAGUCUUAAAUGGCGUUUAAAUGAAGCCCAGAAACGGGGGCGGGGGGGGGGGGCCUGGGGAUUUAGCUCAGUGGUAGAGCACUUGCCUAGGAACCACAAGGCCCUGGAUUCGGUCCCCAGCUCCGAAAAAAAAAAAAGAACCAAAAAAAAAAAAAAGAAGAAGCCCAGAAACACUGUAAUCUUUAUAUACCAAAGGGUUAAAAUCCCUAUAAAAAACACACAGGAACGGGGCUGGGGAUUUAGCUCAGUGGUAGAGUGCUUACCUAGGAAGCGCAAGGUCCUGGGUUCGGUCCCCAGCUCCGGAAAAAAAAGAACAAAAAAAAAAAAAAAAAAAAAAAAAAACCACACAGGACAGGACUGAAAAUACAAGUAGCACAAGUUAAAUGACCAGCAAAGACCUAUGGUACUGACUGCAGCUGAAUUCCACAGCAGAAAACUCGUGUGCAUAAAGAAUCUGCCCUUGGAACAAUAAGGUUGUUAAUACCUAAGCUUUCCCUUCUGCGCAAAGGUCACAAGCAAUAUUCUGUGAGAGAUUUAAAAAGUAAUUAUCAGCAGAGCAUGGAGGCACACACCUUUAAUCUCAGCACUGGAAGCCAGAAGCAGGUGGGUCUCUUCAAAUUCAAGGUCAGUCUUAUCUACAUAGUAAAUUCCAGGAUAGGCAGAGCUCCAUAGAGAGAGACUAUCUCAAAAACCAAAAACAUAGGGUUGGGGAUUUAGCUCAGUGGUAGAGUGCUUGCCUAGGAAGCACAAGACCCUGGGUUCGGUCCCCAGCUCCGAAAAAAAAACAAAAACAAAAAAAAAAACAAAAACGUAAGUAUCGGUAACUGAUAGUAAACAACCCUCCAAAAGCUAUCAAAGUUGAGGAGAGGCCUGGAGAGGUGGUUCCAGGGCCAAAAGCAUGGGCUGCUCUACAAAGCACUCAUUUCUUGUAACUCCAGCUCCUGGGGCGUGCUGUCUUUCCAGCUUCCAUAGGCUCCAUGGCAUUUACACACCCAUAUACUCAAAUUUAAAACUAACUAAAAAUAAUUUCGGCCAGCCUGGUCUACAGAAUGAGUUCCAGGGCAACCAGGGCUACACAGAAAUUCAGUCUCCACCAGCCAACCAACCAACCAAACAAAUCUUUUUUCAAACUUUAAGAAUGGGUUUGGGGAAUGGCUUGGUGAAUAAGAGCAUUUGUUUUACAACUAUGAGGCCCUAAGUUUGAAUACCUAGCACCCACAUAAAAACACCAAACAAGGCUGUGUUUUCCUGUAACCCCAACACUAGGAGAUAGACCGACCCUGCGAGUUGACUGGCUGGCCAGCCUAGCUGAACUGUUGAGCUUCCCGUUCAUCAAGAGAGCCUAUCUCAAGCAGUAUGGUGGAAAGUGAUAGAAAAGGAACACAAGACAUCCUACUCUGACCUCUGAGUUCUCACUCAGGCUCGUGCACAUGUGAUCUCAUAUGUAUGCCUACAUACAACACACGCACACAUGUUAAGGAAUUUCUUUCUCUGCCUCACACAGCCCAGAUGGCCUCAAACUCUCUAUAUACCCCAAAAUGUCUUUUAAGUUCUGAUCUCGCUGCUUCCAGUUCUUAAGUGCUGGGAUUAUAGGCACGUGCCAUGGCACCUGGCUGUGAGCCUAUGCUUAAAAGACUUUGGAGGGGGUCGGCCAGAUACUCAGUGGAUUAAAGGUACUUGCCACCAUGCUUGACAACCUGAGCCCAAUCUCUAGAACCUACGUGGUAGAGAGAAUUAAUUUUUACAGUUGUCCUCUGACCUACUAAGUGCUCUAUGGCAAACACACACACACACACACACACACACACACACACACACACACACACACACCCCACAAUUAAGUAAAGUUUUGAAAAGUGGUGAGAUGGUUUGGUGGGUAAAGGAACUUGCCUCAACACCUUACGACCUGAAUUCAAUCCCUGGGACCCUCAUGGUGGCGAGAGAGAACCUAUCCUUGAAGCUGUGCUCAGACCUCCACACUCAGGCCACGGUGUGUGUAUCCACAUACAUAAACACACAUACACUAAAUAAUGUUUUAAAAGACCGUGUACGGCAAACGUGGUGGUGGCUUGAAUGAAAAUGACUCCCCAGACACAGGCAAAUGACUCCCUGAAGGCUUGUAUGUUUGAAUUGGCCCCCAACUGGUGGAGCUGUUUGGGAAAGAUUAGGAGGUGUGGCCUUGUUGGAGGUGUCUCUGGGAAUGGGCUCCUGUUCCCCAAGAGUCUCCAUUUUCAGUGUCUCACUGUCUCUGCUCCUACUUUCAGAUCAAGAUGUAAGCUCUCACCUGUUGCUGUCACCAUGCCUUUGCCUCUCCAUUAGGGACUCCUACCCUCUGAAGCACUUCCCAUUUGUAGGCUAAGAUCCUGGAGAUUCACUGCCCCAAGCUGAGGCUCUUCCUUGCCACAGGAGCACUUCGAGACUCGUGUCUUUCUCAGUCAACAUCAGAAGAGUGUCCUCCUGCAGUAGACGAGAACAAAUACAGAGACCCACAGCUGGACUAUGUGCAGAGAGUGAGAGAUUUUCCAACACUCAGUUCUAACUGGGAUGUCUUCAUCACAUUUCUCCCCGAAGGGCUCAGGGAACUCUGUGGAAGAGAUGGCAGAAAGAGACAAGGAAUGGAAGACACCAAGGAAACAAGGCCCUCUAAACACAGUAAGACUGGUACACACAUGAACUCACAGAGACUGUGGCAGCAUGCACAGGCCUACCUGGGUCUAAGCCCGAUGGGGUCCCAGGACCAAGAAGGGAAGUAAGCAGAAGCCCAUGUUCUUAACCCUCAGUACCCAACAAAACCCCAACCCCAACUGCCCCUCCUUCAUCACCAUAUCCCGGCCUACAUCUCCAGUGGCCUCCUAUCCCCUCAGAGGCCAGGCCAGAAUCCUGAAAACCAGGCAGAAAUCUCCUAUUCCACCAGAGAACAGGCCAGAAUCCUCAACUCCAGAGGACCCCCAGGGCCAUCAGAAGGCACACACAUCAACAGACCUUCAGACCCAAAUGUGGGGAGAAACCCCCUACUUAACAAGAGUCAUUCAGGCCAUAAGAAGUCCAGUUCCCAACUCAGGUGGAGAUCCUCUAUUCAACAACAGGCCACUCCAGCCAGAAGACCAGAUAGGAAACAGAAACCAAGGGAUAAAACACCCAUCCAACAGAGACAAGCCCAGAAAUCAGCACUUAGACCUACCUAUAAUCACUCCAAACCCACAUGCUUAAAAAUCAGUGUAAGAGUACAGAGGACCACAGCCAGGGCAGUGUGCCACUACUAGAGCCCAACCAUCCCACUACAGCAGGCCCUGUCUCCAACGCAGCUGAAGCAUCAGAAGACAACCUUAAGAUGGGCGUGGUGGCGCACGCAUUACUCCAGGCACUGGGGGCAGAGGCAGGUGGAUCUUGUAAGUUGGAGGCCAGCCUGUUCUACUAGAUGAGUUCCAGGACAGCCAGGGCUGUUAGAUAGAGAAACCCUGUCUUAAAAAAAAAAAAAAGAAAAGAAAAAAAAGGAAAAGAAAAUAACCUUAAAAUCAACUUUAUGAAGAUAAUGGAGGGGUUGGGGAUUUAGCUCAGUGGUAGAGCGCUUGACUAGCAAGCUCAAGGCCCUGGGUUCGGUCCUCAGCUCCAGACAAAAAAGAAAAAAAAAUGAAGAUAAUGGAGGUCCUUAAAGAAGAAGUUGAAGAAAUGACAAACAAUUGGAGGAAAUCAAUAAAUCCCUUAAAGAAAAAGCAAAUGGCUCAGGGAAAUGAAUAAAACUAUUCAAGGAAACUCAAACUGAAGGAAUCCUGGAGACAGAGAAUCUAGGUAAGUGAACAAGAACUAUAGACACAAGCAUUGUCAACAAAAUACAAGAGGUGGAAGAGAGACUCUCCAGCACUGAAGACACACUAGAAGAAAUAGAUACAUCAGUCAGAGACAUUGUUUUGUUUUGUUUUUUUCUUUUUUUUUUGGAGCUGGGGACCGAACCCAGGGCCUUGCGCUUGCUAGGCAAGCGCUCUGCCACUGAGCUAAAUCCCCAACCCCGAGACAUUGUUAAGUUUAAAAUACAAAACAAAUACAAAACAUUCAGGAAAUCUGGGACAUUAUAAAAACACAAAACCUAAGAAUAAUAGGAAUAGACAAGUCCCUGCUCAAGAAAAGGGGGGAGGGCCCUGCAGAGAUGGCUCAAAGGUUAAGAGCACUGAUUGUUCUUCAAAGGUCCUGAGUUCAAAUCCCAGCAACCACAUGGUGGCUCACAACCAUCUGUAAUAGGAUCUGAUGCCCUCUUCUUGUGUAUCUGAAGACAGCUACAGUGUACUUAUAUAUAAGAAAUAAAUAAAUUAAAAAAAGAAAGAAUCCCUGCUCAAAGGCCCAGAAAAUAUUUUUAACAAAAGCAUGGAAAAAUUUCCUAACAUAAAGAAGGACACGCCUAUAAUAAAGGUACAAGAAGCUUACAGAACACUAAUAGAUUGGACCAGAAAAGAAAAUCACUACAUAGUAAUAAUCUAAACCCUAAAUAUACCAAUCAAAGAAAGAAUAUUAACUGCAAGAGAAAAGGCCAAGGAACAUAAAAAAAGCAGACCUACUAGAAUUACACCUGACUUCUCAACGGAGGCUCUAAAAGCCAGAAGGGCCCGAGCAGAUGUGCUGUAGACUCUGAGAGACCUCUGAUGCCAGCCCAAACUACAAUAUCUACCAAACUUUUUUUUUUUUUUAAGAUUUCUUUAUUUUAUGUAUGUGAGCACACUGUGGCUGACUUCAGACACACCAGGAGAGGGCAUCAGAUCCCAUUACAGAUGCUUGUGAGCUACCAUGUGGUUGCUGGGAAUUGAACUCAGGACCUUUGGAAGAGAAAUUCAGUGCUCUUAACUGCUGAGCCAUCUCUCCAGUCCUCCCAUGCCCACCCCAGCAAACUUUUUAAUCACCAUAGGGAGAGAAAACAAGAUAUUCCAUGAUUAAGUUAAAUUUAAACAACAUUGGUCCACAAAUCUGCACCGUAGAAGGUACUAGAAGGAAAAUUCCAAUCCAAGGAGGUUAACUACAUCCACAACCACUAGAGACAAUAAUCGCAUAUAUCAAAACCCAAAGAAAGGAAACACACACACACACACACACACACACACACACACACACACACUACCAAUGACAACAAAAUAGCAGGAAUUAAUAGCCAUUGGUCUUUUAUAUCUCUCGACAUCAAUGGACUUAAUUCCCCAAUAAAAAGACACAGACUAACAGAAUGGAACUGAAAACAGAAACCAUCCUUCUGAUACAUACAAGAAACAGACCUUACCAUGAAAGAUACACAUUACCUCCAAGUAAAAGGUUGGAAAAAGAUUUCCCAAGCAACCCCAAGUAGCAAGCUAGUGUAGCCAUUUUAAUCUCUAACAAAAUAGACUUCCAACCAUAAUUAAUUUAAAAAUAUGGGGAAGGACACUUCAUACUCAUAGAAAAAAAAAAACCAACACCAAGAUGACAGCUUUAAGUCUUAACAUCUAUGCCGCAAAUGCAAGGGCACCACAACUGUGAAAGAAACACGACUAUAGGGGUUGGGGAUUUAGUUCAGUGGUAGAGCGCUUGCCUAGCAAGCGCAAGGCCCUGGGUUCGGUCCCCAGCUCUGAAAAAAAGAAAAAAGAGAAAAAAGAAAAAGAAAGAAAAGAAAGAAAGAAAGAAACACGACUAUAACUUCAGUCACACAUCGAUUCUCACACAGUGAUAGUGGGAGUGUUUGAUGACCAGUUCUCACCAAUAGAUAGGUCAUCUAGAAAAGAACUAAACAGAGAAAUGAUGGAGCUGACAGUUAUCUAUAGAACAUUUCACCCAAACACAAAA